GUUACAGCAGUUACAUUACAGGGUAGCUUUUCAAUCAUAUGUUACAGUUAAAAUACUAUCUGGUUUAAUAAACGUUUCAGUGUGACAGAGAAACAGACACUCAUGUAUUGGGGAGUGUGUGUCUUUGCAUGUAUGUAUUUCUGUGGCUUUGUUGACGUGUAUCUACAUGUGCCUGUGUGUAUCUCUUUCCAAACGUGCAUUUGUGGGAUUCAAAAAUUAUAGUAACCAGUUCCGACUUCAGGUUUCCAACUCCACAGGGUUG